rnacentral:rRNA from 1 species
AUUGAACGCUGGCGGCAGGCCUAACACAUGCAAGUCGGGCGGUAGCACAGGAGAGCUUGCUCUCCGGGUGACGAGCGGCGGACGGGUGAGUAAUGUCUGGGAAACUGCCUGAUGGAGGAGGAUAACUACUGGAAACGGUAGCUAAUACCGCAUAACGUCGCAAGACCAAAGAGGGGGACCUUCGUGCCUCUUGCCAUCGGAUGUGCCCAGAUGGGAUUAGCUAGUAGGUGAGGUAAAGGCCCACCUAGGCGACGAUCCCUAGCUGGUCUGAGAGGAUGACCAGCCACACUGGAACUGAGACACGGUCCAGACUCCUACGGGAGGCAGCAGUGGGGAAUAUUGCACAAUGGGCGCAAGCCUGAUGCAGCCAUGCCGCGUGUAUGAAGAAGGCCUUCGGGUUGUAAAGUACUUUCAGCGGGGAGGAAGGUGUUGUGGUUAAUAACCACAGCAAUUGACGUUACCCGCAGAAGAAGCACCGGCUAACUCCGUGCCAGCCGCCGCCGUAA